rnacentral:rRNA from 1 species
AGUGAACGCUGGCGGUAGGCCUAACACAUGCAAGUCGAACGGCAGCACAGUAAGAGCUUGCUCGUACGGGUGGCGAGUGGCGGACGGGUGAGGAAUACAUCGUAAUCUACUUUUUCGUGGGGGAUAACGUAGGGAAACUUACGCUAAUACCGCAUACGACCUACGGGUGAAAGCAGGGGAUCUUCGGACCUUGCGCGAGUGAAUGAGCCGAUGUCGGAUGAGCUAGUUGGCGGGGUAAAGGCCCACCAAGGUGACGAUCCGUAGCUGGUCUGAGAGGAUGAUCCGCCAGAUUGGAAGUGAGACACGGUCGAGACUCUGACGGGAGGAAGCAGUGGGGAAUACUGGACGAGGGGGGCAAGCCUGAUCCAGCCAUACCGCGUGGGUGAAGAAGGCCUCAUGGUUGUAAAGCCCUUUUGUUGGGAAAGAAAAGCAGCAGGUUAAUACCACGCUGUUCUGACGGUACCCAAAGAAUAAGCACCGGCUAACUUCGUG